AUGUCCCGCGUGUCCCGGCGAACUUUGGAUCGAUCCGACGCGGAGGAAGGCGAAGCCGAGGGAGCGGCGAAGAGUGACGGUGCCGCUUCGCCGGUUCGAGUCCACGUCCAGCCUGAGAUCCGAGCGCGGCACCGUUCCCACCUGCCAUCGGGGAAUAUUGUCCCCGUGAAGGGGUGGACCUGGUCAGCGACAAGGUCCAGCACCACGCUAGGCGAGCAGCGUGUGGGGACGGCGCUUUGCUCAGUGGCACCUUGGCUGUUCAGGGAUUCGAACCCGCAACCUCCUGUCGACGGGGACCGCUUCCUUGACCGCUAGGCCGCCACUGCCCCUGUUAAAGCUCAGACGCUGCGAAGACGCGUGGACCCACAUCGAGUCCAGUUACCUGCUCCAGUUCUGGUGGGGCUUUGGACUGGUGGACAGAUGUUCUCAGAAACGAAGCUGCUGAGGCCGCCCUGAAGGUCGUAUUACUGUAAAACCCAAACUGUGAACGAUGUGUGGCUGAAACGGCCCUCCUACUCCGCUGCUUUCAACACCGUCGAUCGCAAUAUUUUACUCAGUAACCAUGGGUGUCUUCUUGGUGUCUCUGGUCCUAUGAAUUUUACUGCUUCCGUGGGGGUUAAACUAUUAAACCAAAAUGACACCCCCCACCCGCACCACGGGGCAUUGACCUGAAAUCAUCCGGCUGCAUUACGCCCCUCCCCUGAACCACUGAAGAGGUAUUGAUCGGGUAUAGGUUGCCGAUAAUGUUAAGGUGAUGUUCUAGUCGGUGUCAUGUACUGUUUGUGAGUGUAUAUGUGCGUCGACGCGUGUCUCCAACCCGUGAACCGUAGGGAAGCAGCUGCCCGGGCUUCCAGUAAGCGUCUGUGGGGGCUGGCUGUUGGCUGGUGAAGGGUGUGCCAGCUGGCAGUGGGACGUCGGCAUUGUGUUUUAAAUGGACACGCCCCCUUCCGGACCCCCAAACAUCCCAUGCAUGUGUGCGAUAAAAGGAAAGUGGCGUUCCAAAUGGAUGUGCAGUCCUGGAAUAUGCCUCGCUGUCAGGUUUAAUGUCUGGUUCUUACAAAGUGGAGGAUUUGUAAUGAAUCUCGCUGAUGUUCUCAAUAAUUCCACCAUCGUUACUUUCGGAAUAACACGGUAGGGUGAUGAAAUUCACAAUUUCUUGCAGAGCCGUUUGCAAUUUUGGCACCAAAAAGCAACGAAUGCACCGUUGCCCAAAAUCUAGAAAUAAGUUCUUCCUGAGAGA
ensembl:lncRNA